GGGCCCAUAGCUCAGCCGGUUUAGAGCGCUUGCGUGGCACGCAAGAGGUUCGUGGGUUCGAAUCCCACUGGGUCCA
rnacentral:tRNA from 2 species